rnacentral:rRNA from 1 species
UACGUAGGGUGCAAGCGUUAAUCGGAAUUACUGGGCGUAAAGCGUGCGCAGGCGGUUUUUUAAGUCUGUUGUGAAAUCCCCGGGCUUAACCUGGGAAUGGCGGUGGUGACUGCAAGGCUAGAGUUUGGCAGAGGGGGGUAGAAUUCCACGUGUAGCAGUGAAAUGCGUAGAGAUGUGGAGGAACACCGAUGGCGAAGGCAGCCCCCUGGGUCAAAACUGACGCUCAUGCACGAAAGCGUGGGGAGCAAACAGG